rnacentral:rRNA from 1 species
AGGCCUAACACGUGCAAGUCGAACGAGUGGCGGACGGGUGAGUAAUGUCUGGGAAACUGCCUGAUGGAGGGGGAUAACUACUGGAAACGGUAGCUAAUACCGCAUACCAUCGGAUGUGCCCAGAUGGGAUUAGCUAGUAGGUGGGGUAAAGGCUCACCUAGGCGACGAUCCCUAGCUGGUCUGAGAGGAUGACCAGCCACACUGGAACUGAGACACGGUCCAGACUCCUACGGGAGGCAGCAGUGGGGAAUAUUGCACAAUGGGCGCAAGCCUGAUGCAGCCAUGCCGCGUGUAUGAAGAAGGCCUUCGGGUUGUAAAGUACUUUCAGCGGGGAGGCGUUACCCGCAGAAGAAGCACCGGCUAACUCCGUGCCAGCAGCCGCGGUAAUACGGAGGGUGCAAGCGUUAAUCGGAAUUACUGGGCGUAAAGCGCACGCAGGCGGUUUGUUAAGUCAGAUGUGAAAUCCCCGGGCUCAACCUGGGAACUGCAUCUGAUACUGGCAAGC